UACUACCGUCUCUCAAAAUUAUUCUUCCUUUGUCUAAUCGUCUCUUCUCCGGCUUCCUGCCUCGAUUUUAGUGAUUUUUUUUUUUUUUCAUCUCUGGGUUGUUGUGGGAGCUUAUCUUCUGUCAUGUAUUCUGCAAGUUUUCUUCUGUCUUAUAUGCAAAUUGUGUAAAUUAUAUACUUUAGUAGUUUUUUAUGAUUUGCCUUUUUUUUUUAGGGGGGCAAGAAUUCCACAUUGAACCCUUCAAAUAUUGAAUUUUUCUUUUGCUGAUGAGCUCCUAAAUCAUUUAUUUUGAAUCACACUAAAUUUUGAGUAGCUGGGUCUCUGUGUGAACUGAUGGGAACUGCUACUACUCAGUACCCAUAUGGAAUCACUGCACAUUCCUAUGGAAAUUUUGGUCACAAGUUGGAUAUUUCAAGCUCCAAGUUUCCUUAUAAAGUGGGAUUUUCAAGAAUUGCUGCCAUCAACAAUUCCAAGGGAUUUGUCAGUCGAAUAUGUUCAGUACCUGAUCUUGAUGAUAUCUUUUGGGAGAAAGUUUCUACACCAAUACUUGAUGUGGUUGAAAACCCUAUCCACUUGAAGAAUUUGACCCCUAAGGAACUGAAAGAGCUGGCUAAUGAAAUACGAGCAGAAUUGUCUUCUAUAAUGUCAAGGACUCAAAAAUCUAUUAAGACCAGUUUAGCAGUGGUGGAACUCACCGUUGCCAUUCAUCAUGUUUUUCAUGCACCAGUGGACAAGAUACUAUGGGAUGUUGGGGAACAGACAUAUGCGCAUAAAAUUCUCACAGGUAGACGGUCCCUUAUGCAUACACUGAAACAAAAGAAUGGUCUUUCUGGCUUUACAUCUCGGUCUGAGAGCGAAUAUGAUCCAUUUGGGGCAGGGCAUGGAUGCAAUAGUAUUUCUGCUGGGCUUGGGAUGGCAGUUGCACGUGAUAUGAAAGAGAAACGGGAACGUGUUGUUACAGUCAUCAGCAACGGGACAACUAUGGCUGGUCAGGUCUAUGAAGCGAUGAGCAAUGCAGGCUAUCUGGACUCAAAUAUGAUAGUCAUUUUAAAUGACAGCCAUCACUCUUUGCAUCCAAAGAUUGAAGAGGGUCCCAAGACUUCGAUCAAUGCUCUAUCUAGCACCCUAAGCAAGCUCCAGUCAAAUAAAUCAUUCCGGAAGCUUAGAGAAGUUGCAAAGGGUGUUACCAAAAGGAUUGGUAUGGGUAUGCAUGAAUUAGCAGCCAAAGUUGAUGAGUAUGCACGUGGUAUGAUGGGUCCUCUAGGAGCAACUCUCUUUGAAGAGCUCGGUUUGUAUUACAUAGGCCCUGUUGAUGGACACAACAUUGAAGACCUAGUUUGUGUUCUACAAGAAGUGGCAUCUCUGGAUUCUAUGGGUCCUGUCUUGGUACAUGUAAUAACAGAAGAAAAUCGAAAACCAGAAGAUAAGCAAAAGAGUGAGGCAUUGCAGAACCUGCAGGAUGGUUCAUUUGUGUCUGAAUCUUCUCUCUAUAGUAUUCAUACUAGAACAUAUAGUGAUUGCUUUGCGGAGGCUUUGGUCAUGGAGGCAGAGAAGGACAAAGAUAUUGUGACUGUUCAUGCAGGAAUGGAAAUGGAAAAAGCUUUUCAACUAAUUAUGGAGAGAUUUCCAGAUAGGUUUUUUGAUGUGGGAAUGGCUGAGCAGCAUGCGGUUACAUUUUCUGCUGGUUUAUCUUGUGGGGGGUUGAAGCCAUUUUGCAUAAUUCCUUCUGCCUUUCUACAGAGAGCAUAUGACCAGGUGGUUCAUGAUGUUGAUCGACAGAGGAUUCCAGUUCGUUUUGUCAUUACAAGUGCAGGAUUGGUAGGGUCUGAUGGUCCUAUGCAGUGUGGGGCAUUUGAUAUAACAUUCAUGUCAUGCUUACCAAACAUGAUUGUUAUGGCACCAUCCGAUGAGGAUGAGCUUGUGGACAUGGUGGCUACUGCAGUUAACAUUGAUGAUCGUCCAGUCUGCUUCCGUUAUCCAAGGGGUGCCAUUAUUGGGACAGAUCAUUAUGUGCGCAGUGGAAUUCCAAUUGAGGUUGGAAAGGGAAAAGUUCUCAUAGAGGGUAAAGAUGUUGCUUUGCUUGGGUAUGGGGCAAUGGUUCAGAACUGCCUCAAAGCUCGGCACCUUCUUUCAAAGCUUGGCAUUGAGGUAACUGUUGCUGAUGCAAGAUUCUGCAAGCCUCUCGACAUGAAGCUUCUCAGACAACUAUGUGAAAAUCAUGCAUUUCUGGUCACAGUUGAGGAAGGCUCUGUUGGAGGAUUUGGAUCCCAUGUUGCACAGUUCAUGGCUCUUGAUGGACAACUUGAUGGUAGAGUUAAAUGGCGACCUAUCGUUUUACCAGACAGCUAUAUCGAACACGCAUUGCCAAAGGAACAGCUUACUCUUGCUGGGCUGACUGGACACCAUAUUGCUGCAACAGUACUAAGACUGCUUGGUCGCACCCGCGAAGCUCUCCUUUUAAUGUGUUAGAAAUCUAUAUUUUCUCUGCUAUUAUCGCUUAAGAUGUUGAGCCUUCAUUGUUUCACUGAUUUUUAAUCUCAUUACAAAGGCAGGACUACAUGAGGAUGAUACAAGAAAAGAACGGCCCAAACCAAUCUAACAGAGACCCAAAAGCUAACAGAAUUUCCACGCAACAGGCAGCGUGGUGAAAGGUCCUCAACACGGUUUUGUGAAAUAAUCUUUUCCUACUUUACGUGAAGCAAUCCAAGAUCAGAAAACUUACAGGGCAUGUGUAGUGACUGUCAUAUCCUAGGCAGAUCUCUUCUUGAAAGCUACAGCUACUUGAUUAUGACCAAUUUCCUUUGAUGGAAUUGGAGAAUGGACUGGACUUCCUCACCUACCCAACUAAAUUCCAUCUCCAGCCAUGCACACACCUUGAAUUGCCAGCUUUUUAAUUAAUAUUAGCCUGUGAUAGCAUUUUUAAUUAAUGUCAGCCUGUGGAUAGCACCAAAACGACAAAGAAUCCCAAGUCUGAUGUUGAAUAGAUUUUGGAGCUCAUCUUGCACGUGCCUUGCACCAUUAAAUAGCGUAAAAAUUAAUCAUGAAUUUUUAAUUUUUAAUUUAUUGUGGGUGCGCUCUCAUGAAUA